rnacentral:rRNA from 1 species
AUUGUACUUACAUUUUAUCUUGCUGAGGAUAAGCUCAGCAAGAAUAUUAAAUUAAAAAGUAUUAUUGUUAGGCAGCUACAUAAGCUUGAAAUUAGCUACUGUAUUAAAGUUUGUUAUAAAAUAGCCUGUGUAUAAUAAUGAAAGAUUAAUAUACUUUUUUGUACUGGGGUAGUAUAAGAGAAACUAAAAAUCAAACUUAUUUAUGCUAGGAUGAGUAUUAAAAUACAAAAAUAUGUAGGCUAGAAAUAAAAGUGCACAUAAGUAAUUUUUAUUUAUAAAAGAAAAUAGGGAUAAGGAACUCGGCAAAUUUUGGCUCCGCCUGUUUAUCAAAAACAUGGCUCUUUGUUAAUUAAACAUAAAGAGUCUGACCUGCCCAGUGAAAUUUUAACGGCCGCGGUACUCUGACCGUGCAAAGGUAGCAUAAUCACUUGCCUUGUAAUUGAAGGCUUGUAUGAAUGGUUUGACGUGAGCGUGACUGUCUCCUUCCUACUUCAUAGAAUUUAACUUUUGGGUGAAGAGGCCCAAAUAAGAUUGAAAGACAAGAAGACCCUGUCGAGCUUGAAAGAAAAUUAGGAUAUUGAUAUAUUUUUAAAUUAACUACUAAUUGAUUUUUUUUGGUUGGGGCGACCGAGGAACAAAAAGAGCUUCCUUUACUUUAAUUAGUUAAUAAACAUCGAUCCAGGAUAGCUGAUUGGAAAAAUUAGUUACCGCAGGGAUAACAGCAUAAUCUCCCUUGAGAGACCUAAUCGAAAGGGGGGGUUGUGACCUCGAUGUUGGACUAAAAUAUCCUGAAGAUGCAGAAGUCU